rnacentral:rRNA from 1 species
GUCGAACGGACUUAAUCGAAAUAUUUAUAUUUUGAAGCGGUUAGUGGCGGACUGGUGAGUAACGCGUAAGGAACCUGCCUAUUAGAGGGGAAUAACAGUGAGAAAUCAUUGCUAAUACCGCAUAUGCCAUAGAUAUCACAUGAUAACAGUGGGAAAGGAGCAAUCCGCUAAUAGAUGGCCUUGCGUCUGAUUAGAUAGUUGGUGGGGUAACGGCCUACCAAGUCGACGAUCAGUAGCCGGACUGAGAGGUUGAACGGCCACAUUGGGACUGAGAUACGGCCCAGACUCCUACGGGAGGCAGCAGUCGGGAAUAUUGCGCAAUGGAGGAAACUCUGACGCAGUGACGCCGCGUAUAGGAAGAAGGUUUUCGGAUUGUAAACUAUUGUCGUUAGGGAAGAGAAAGGACAGUACCUAAGGAGGAAGCUCCGGCUAACUACGUGCCAGCAGCCGCGGUAAUACGUAGGGAGCGAGCGUUAUCCGGAAUUAUUGGGUGUAAAGGGUGCGUAGACGGGAGAACAAGUUAGUUGUGAAAUACCUCGGCUCAACUGAGGAACUGCAACUAAAACUGUACUUCUUGAGUGCAGGAGAGGUAAGUGGAAUUCCUAGUGUAGCGGUGAAAUGCGUAGAUAUUAGGAGGAACACCAGUGGCGAAGGCGACUUACUGGACUGUAACUGAC